UGCUGGAUAGCUCACUCGGUAAAGCGUCGUGAAGCAGAAGUGACUAUCACGUCGCGGGUUCGAUUCCCGCCUCGUAC